rnacentral:tRNA from 1 species
GUCUCCGUGGCGCAGGGGAAAGCGCGUCGGGUUGCGGACCCGAAGGCCGCAGGUUCGAAUCCUGCCGGAGACA